UGCACUCUAACCAGAUUUUACUCCUCUGGGUUAAAACCCGGGCAGAGCCAAGAUGCCGGCUUACCACUCUUCUCUCACUGCCCCUGACCCCAAGCUCAUCAGUUACAUGGCACUGUUACCUAUCAGAAGUCAGUUCAAAGGAUCUGCUCCCAGAGAGACAAAAGAUACAGGUAUUGUGGAUGAAGCCUUCUAUUACUUCAAGGCCAAUGUCUUCUUCAAAAACUAUGAAAUUAAGAAUGAAGCUGGUAGAACCUUGCUAUAAUAACUCUACAUUUCUGAGUGUCUAAAGAAACUCCAGAAGUGUAAUUCCAAAAGCCAAGGUGAGAAAUAAAUGUAUACACUGGAAAUCGCUAAUGUUCCCAUUUCUGGAGAGCUUGGUUUCCCACUUAAUGCAAUUUAUGCCAAAACUGUAAACAAACAGGAAGAUGAUGUGAUGAGAACCUACCUACAGCAGUUAAGGCAAGAGACUGGACUGAAACUUUGUGAGAAAGUUUUUGGCCCACAGAAUAAUAAACCCAGUAAGUGGCGGACUUGCUUUGUGAUGAGGCAGUUCAUGAACAAGAGUCUUUUUGGACCUAGACAGUGAGGGGAGCCUGGGGAGUCACUGUCUCCAAAGCCCUGGGCAGCAUUUUCAAGCAAGAUGUAUACAAUCCUUUGUCUUUAUUUCAUGAAGUUUUAUACAGAAGAGAGAAGAGUAUGUCUUUACUUGAAAACCUCUUGAUGAAGAAUUUGGGAGGGUGAGUGGAAAGUGGAUUGUCAAGGGUGACCUGAAAUUUUCUGCAGUAUUAAACUGGUGCUUAAUAAGAGUUAAGUAAUAACAAAGAAAUUUCUAACAUUCAAAAAAAAAA